rnacentral:rRNA from 1 species
UGGGGAAUAUUGGGCAAUGGGCGCAAGCCUGACCCAGCAACGCCGCGUGAAGGAAGAAGGCUUUCGGGUUGUAAACUUCUUUUCUCAGGGACGAAGCAAGUGACGGUACCUGAGGAAUAAGCCACGGCUAACUACGUGCCAGCAGCCGCGGUAAUACGUAGGUGGCAAGCGUUAUCCGGAUUUACUGGGUGUAAAGGGCGUGUAGGCGGGACUGCAAGUCAGAUGUGAAAACCAUGGGCUCAACCUAUGGCCUGCAUUUGAAACUGUAGUUCUUGAGUACUGGAGAGGCAGACGGAAUUCCUA